rnacentral:tRNA from 1 species
GCGCCCGUAGCUCAGUGGAUAGAGCGUUAGGUUGCGGACCUAAAGGUCGUGGGUUCGAGUCCCGCCGGGCGCACCA